GCUGCUUAUUAAUUAAAAGGAUUGUGGUAAAGUGCACAUCUCACAGAAGUCCCCAUCCUAGGCAUGUUUGAGUGUCGCUCGGUGGUAUUAAUUACGCUCAGUUGUGGUGCAACCGUCACAGAGGCGCGCGCGGGGACCUGCCGGUGCCGGCACUCAUUAGUUUCUAUUUUUUAAUUAUCAGAGAAGCUUCCUUGUGAUAGUUCGUUGUGGCGAGCAUGUCCACUUCCGGGUAAAGUGCAGGGAUGCUGUGCCAGAGGAAUACGAGUGAAAGGCGAGACAGCGAUGAGACCCUGGGUAGCUUAUGUUCGGCAGCUGCAGGUGAGCCGUGCUGCGAAUACAGGUUUAAGCUGUGGUCGCACUGCGGUUCGGAGUAUUCCCUGACAGGCGUGCUGAAGUCACCCACGGCCCCCUGAGUGCGACUUUACUUGGAAAACAGGUCUUUGAGGAAAGAAGUACCUGUGCUCAUGGCUCGUGAUUCACACCUGCGAAGAUACAGGACCCGCCGCCAUCCCCCCAGGGGGAGCAGGAUGAGGACCCUCAGGGGAGGAGCCGGGUAGCAGGCCGCCCGACUCCCAUCCGGUUCUGAGGUGCUUGGGGUUCACCAGAGCAGCCAGCGGUGGAAGCAGCCCGAUCUCAGUUCCAAUGCGAGGAGUGCCUUUAGCAUUUCACUACUGUCAUUUAUUUUUGGAUUCAUCCAACAUUUACCAAGCACGUUCAAACUGCUAGAUUCUGUACAAAGUGCUGGGGAUACAAGGCCAAGAGGACAUAACGUCUGACCCUCAAGAAUUUAAAUUAACAG
rnacentral:lncRNA from 1 species